CGGAUUUCUGAUUGAAUAGCUCUGGAAUGGGAAGAAGACUUCACAUUUCCAACAAGAUCCCAGGUGCUGUUAAGGUCUUUGUUCAGGGACCACACUUUGGAAGACAUUGACCAGGAUCAUGAGUUCCUUAAGGAAUCUUUGCGUUUGAACCAAAAUCUAGCUCGAAUCCACAGACUCAAUGAAGCUCUCAUGCCAACAGUACGGAGUAUCACCUACUCUGUACCGAGACUCUGUGCUCACCAUACAGCCGAAAACAAGACAAG
rnacentral:lncRNA from 13 species